rnacentral:rRNA from 1 species
GAGUUUGAUCAUGGCUCAGAUUGAACGCUGGCGGCAGGCCUAACACAUGCAAGUCGAACGGUAACAGGAAGCAGCUUGCUGCUUUGCUGACGAGUGGCGGACGGGUGAGUAAUGUCUGGGAAACUGCCCGAUGGAGGGGGAUAACUACUGGAAACGGUAGCUAAUACCGCAUAACGUCGCAAGACCAAAGAGGGGGACCUUAGGGCCUCUUGCCAUCGGAUGUGCCCAGAUGGGAUUAGCUAGUAGGUGGGGUAACGGCUCACCUAGGCGACGAUCCCUAGCUGGUCUGAGAGGAUGACCAGCCACACUGGAACUGAGACACGGUCCAGACUCCUACGGGAGGCAGCAGUGGGGAAUAUUGCACAAUGGGCGCAAGCCUGAUGCAGCCAUGCCGCGUGUAUGAAGAAGGCCUUCGGGUUGUAAAGUACUUUCAGCGGGGAGGAAGGGAGUAAAGUUAAUACCUUUGCUCAUUGACGUUACCCGCAGAAGAAGCACCGGCUAACUCCGUGCCAGCAGCCGCGGUAAUACGGAGGGUGCAAGCGUUAAUCGGAAUUACUGGGCGUAAAGCGCACGCAGGCGGUUUGUUAAGUCAGAUGUGAAAUCCCCGGGCUCAACCUGGGAACUGCAUCUGAUACUGGCAAGCUUGAGUCUCGUAGAGGGGGGUAGAAUUCCAGGUGUAGCGGUGAAAUGCGUAGAGAUCUGGAGGAAUACCGGUGGCGAAGGCGGCCCCCUGGACGAAGACUGACGCUCAGGUGCGAAAGCGUGGGGAGCAAACAGGAUUAGAUACCCUGGUAGUCCACGCCGUAAACGAUGUCGACUUGGAGGUUGUGCCCUUGAGGCGUGGCUUCCGGAGCUAACGCGUUAAGUCGACCGCCUGGGGAGUACGGCCGCAAGGUUAAAACUCAAAUGAAUUGACGGGGGCCCGCACAAGCGGUGGAGCAUGUGGUUUAAUUCGAUGCAACGCGAAGAACCUUACCUGGUCUUGACAUCCACGGAAGUUUUCAGAGAUGAGAAUGUGCCUUCGGGAACCGUGAGACAGGUGCUGCAUGGCUGUCGUCAGCUCGUGUUGUGAAAUGUUGGGUUAAGUCCCGCAACGAGCGCAACCCUUAUCCUUUGUUGCCAGCGGUCCGGCCGGGAACUCAAAGGAGACUGCCAGUGAUAAACUGGAGGAAGGUGGGGAUGACGUCAAGUCAUCAUGGCCCUUACGACCAGGGCUACACACGUGCUACAAUGGCGCAUACAAAGAGAAGCGACCUCGCGAGAGCAAGCGGACCUCAUAAAGUGCGUCGUAGUCCGGAUUGGAGUCUGCAACUCGACUCCAUGAAGUCGGAAUCGCUAGUAAUCGUGGAUCAGAAUGCCACGGUGAAUACGUUCCCGGGCCUUGUACACACCGCCCGUCACACCAUGGGAGUGGGUUGCAAAAGAAGUAGGUAGCUUAACCUUCGGGAGGGCGCUUACCACUUUGUGAUUCAUGACUGGGGUGAAGUCGUAACAAGGUAACCGUAGGGGAACCUGCGGUUGGAUCACCUCCUUACCUUAAAGAAGC